rnacentral:rRNA from 1 species
CCUCGGGUGGCAGCAGUGAGGAAUAUUGGUCAAUGGGCGGGAGCCUGAACCAGCCAAGCCGCGUGAGGGAAGAAGGUACAGCGUAUCGUAAACCUCUUUUGUCAGGGAACAAAGGCGGGGACUAGUCCCCGGAUGAGGGUACCUGAAGAAAAAGCAUCGGCUAACUCCGUGCCAGCAGCCGCGGUAAUACGGAGGAUGCGAGCGUUAUCCGGAUUUAUGGGGUUAAAGGGGUGCGCAGGCGGCCUGUUAAGUCAGCGGUAAAAGCCCGGUGCGAAACCCCGGCGAGCCGUGGAAACUGGCGGGCUGGAGUGGGAGAGAAGUACGCGGAAGGCGCGGUGUAGCGGUGAAAUGCUUAGAUAUCGCGCAGAACCCCGAUUGCGAAGGCAGCGUACCGGCUCCACACUGACGCUGAGGCACGAAAGCGUGGGUAUCGAACAGGAUUAGAUACCCGGGUAGUC